UACGGCGGGGGCUAGCGUUGUUCGGAAUGACUGGGCGUAAAGCGCGCGUAGGCGGGCUGGAAAGUCAGGGGUGAAAUCCCGGGGCUCAACCCUGGAAUUGCCUUUGAGACUCCCAGCCUUGAGUUCGAGAGAGGUGAGUGGAAUUCCGAGUGUAGAGGUGAAAUUCGUAGAUAUUCGGAGGAACACCAGUGGCGAAGGCGGCUCACUGGCUCGACACUGACGCUGAGGUGCGAAAGCGUGGGGAGCAAACAGG
rnacentral:rRNA from 1 species